GUUUGCUUUCACCUCUCCCCCGCAAGGAUGAAGAGUUGGAACGGAGCUGGUGCAGGUGGUGGUCAGCCAAGCCUUGGCAAAGAGUGUCUUCUAUGGAGCCUCAGCCUCUUCAAACAGACAGCAGAGCAGCAAUCCAGUUACACCAGGUUACAAUCGAGAACAACUGCUGCUGCGUUCAGUCGGAUUCAGUUAUUACUUACAUGGAACAUAAUCUUUCCAAGCCAUUAAUGAAAGUGAGAAACUGAACAUAAGCAAAAAGGAAAAGAAAACAAAAAAUCAGGAACGAAUUCCCCACCAUGGUAUUGUAAGCAGCUAAAAAAAGGUUUUAUCAGCAUGGUUUUCUUUUCUUUGUGACCCUUCCUGGUCCCAGGACCUGUAGGACAUCGGGCAGAGGAUGGCCAGUGAUUAUACAGUCAGCAUCUUUCCCAUGAAGCUGGCAGUGCUUAGGCUUGAUCUGUAAAUUUGGUUUAGUGAACGCAGUCUCAAACUCUCCCACUCUGCAUUUACCACGGGUUAUUGGACAGGGAGCAGGAAUGGGGUGCACAGGACGGGCUGGCACAUCGCUACCAGGCGGCACUGCUGUGUAUUGGCACACAGCCCAGGGAGAUGUUUAAUUUCCACUCAGCUUUGGCCAGACUUGCUCACAGCAUACAUAUUAAGGACGUUCAUUAGAGGAAUGUUUGUUGUUCCAGCAGCCCAGACACCUCCCACUCCCCGCUCCCAGGAUUGAACUGAUUGCACCGAUCCUCCUGGUGCCCCGUUGGUCGUUAAUCUAUGGACCAAAAAGCUGCAGCAGCUGUUGCCUCUCUCUUUUUUCAUUUGAGCCUGUUGUACCUUCACCCACACGCUGUGCAGCAGGACUUCAAAGUGAAUUAUCUAUUCCACCUACCUCAAAAACGUGAGCAAACUGCCUCAUGUGCUGCUGAGCUCUGUUCCAGGUGACUGACCUCCACAGAUGAAGAUUUCUGGGGAAAACCCCAGAAGCCAGAGGGAAACUCUUGAAGAAGCAUAAGAUGCUGGGACAGGUUUGAAAAGUUACCAUUCGGAACAGCUGAGUCACCAAUGACUUCAGGAGCUCCUUCUAUGAUCAAACCAUUUCCAAUCCAAGUCCUUCUAACACCUUUUGUCUUUUCCUCUGGUGUCUGAUAUUAAAAAAAAAAUAAU